rnacentral:rRNA from 1 species
GAUGAACGCUGGCGGCGUGCCUAAUACAUGCAAGUCGAGCGAACAGAUGAGGAGCUUGCUCCUCUGACGUUAGCGGCGGACGGGUGAGUAACACGUGGAUAACCUACCUAUAAGACUGGGAUAACUUCGGGAAACCGGAGCUAAUACCGGAUAAUAUAUUGAACCGCAUGGUUCAAUAGUGAAAGACGGUUUUGCUGUCACUUAUAGAUGGAUCCGCGCCGCAUUAGCUAGUUGGUAAGGCAACGGCUUACCAAAGCAACGAUGCGUAGCCGACCUGAGAGGGUGAUCGGCCACACUGGAACUGAGACACGGUCCAGACUCCUACGGGAGGCAGCAGUAGGGAAUCUUCCGCAAUGGGCGAAAGCCUGACGGAGCAACGCCGCGUGAGUGAUGAAGGUCUUCGGAUCGUAAAACUCUGUUAUUAGGGAAGAACAAAUGUGUAAGUAACUAUGCACGUCUUGACGGUACCUAAUCAGAAAGCCACGGCUAACUACGUG